GAACUCAUUUCUUUUCAAUGUUUGGCUGCCAAAGAGAACAUGUUUACCGUACGCAGGAGCAAGGCAGAACAAGAAAAAGAAGUAGAUCAUGUAGGACCUGAGAAGAUUUUACCUAUCAACAUUAAAACAAAAAAGCAAAAUGUACCCAAGUGCAAAGUCCAUCAGGAAUCUGGGAACAAGUGGACACUCUAUAUGUAAAGAAAGGCUGAUGCCUAAAGUGAGGGGCAAACCUGGAAGCAAACAGCCUGGAACCGAAGUGGUCACACCGGCCUUUGGCAGGAGCCGAGGAGCUCCAGUUGAAUGGCAGGCAGCUACCUGGAAAUAAAAGACUCUGCUGUUUCCACAUGUUUACAUUGCGAUUUCCAAGAGCUCCUGAGCAAUUUAAAGUCCAUGAAAGGAAUGCACUAUAGAAUGAAAAAUACAGGUAUUAUUAAAGCAUGUCUCCAAACUGAAAGCUAGCCAGGUUCAUAAAAAGGAGUUAAAAGCAAUAACAGGUUUCUGCCUCCUGCUGGAUGCUGUAUGAGCCAUAUGU